rnacentral:rRNA from 1 species
GGUCAGGAUGAACGCUAGCGAUAGGCCUAACACAUGCAAGUCGAGGGGCAUCACAUGAAGUAGCAAUACGGAUGGUGGCGACCGGCGCACGGGUGAGUAACACGUAUGCAACCUGCCUUCAACAAGGGGAUAACCCGUUGAAAGACGGUCUAAUACCCUAUAACACAGGGGCCCCGCAUGGGGAUAUUUGUUAAAGAUUAAUCGGUUGAAGAUGGGCAUGCGUUCCAUUAGCUAGUUGGUGGGGUAAUGGCCCACCAAGGCAACGAUGGAUAGGGAACUGAGAGGUUUAUCCCCCACACUGGUACUGAGACACGGACCAGACUCCUACGGGAGGCAGCAGUGAGGAAUAUUGGUCAAUGGACGCAAGUCUGAACCAGCCACGUCCGCGUGAAGGAAGACGGCCCUACGGGUUGUAAACUUCUUUGCAAGGGAAUAAAGUGAGUCACGUGUGACUUUUUGCAAGUACCUUGCGAAUAAGGAUCGGCUAACUCCGUGCCAGCCGCCGC